GUUGAGCUAGUAUUACUAGUAUUAAACAUGUUGAGCUAGUAUUACUAGUUGAGGUUGAGAUAGUAUUACUAGUAUUAAACAUGCUGAGCUAGUAUUACUAGUAUUAAACAUGUUGAGCUAGUAUUACUGGUAUUAAACAUGUUGAGCUAGUAUUACUGGUAUUAAACAUGUUGAGCUAGUAUUACUAGUAUUAAACAUGCUGAGCUAGUAUUACUAGUAUUAAACAUGUUGAGCUAGUAUUACUAGUUGAGGUUGAGAUAGUAUUCAACACGUUAAGCUAGUAUUAAACAGGUUGAGCUAAUAUUGAGCUAGCUAGUACUGCAUUACUACGUUUGAACCUAGUGUUUCUGAGAGAGUUUGAGGUGUAGAUUAUGGAUGUGUCUUUGGCUCACAGUAUACAAAAGGGUUAGUAAACAUACCGUUAUUUAUAAUAAAGGCAAAUAGUGGUGAUAAACAGUGAACCAGUAGACUGACAAAACAUUGAAAAAAAUGACAACAUAAAAAAAAAAAAAACACCCGAUAGACUAGACUCCCAUAUAUAAUGGCAUUAUACAUUGAUUGCAUUGUCAUUCUGUCUGCCUGGAGUUGUGACACUGAAGUAGCCUACAACAGCAUUUCAUUUCCUCAUUUUACCACUUCUGCUACAGUACAUUGGGGGUAGUAACAUCUAAAGAAUAUAUAUUAUCUGGGCUAUAAUAAGUCAAUAGCCUGAGUGCCAAUCUGUUUGUUAUCUAUUGCCAACUCCUUGUCCCUCCAUUAUUGUCAAUAUAGCACAAGCAGACUGGCACCCAGGCUAAGCAAAUAAAGUGUCUGUAAAAGCACUUGGUCAGUAGUUUACACAGUAAAGCAGCACCAACCCAAUGUACCCUGCCCACCGAGUACAUACGAAGUAAAGCCAGGUAUUUUCAUCCAAUUUCAUUUACCUACAUGUAUGUAGCUUGGUCCUUGCCAAUGUCUAUGGUGUGGUUGGCACGCCAAACAGGCAAGACAGCACAAACCGAUCUGGGGCCAGGCUAACCUAAAUUAGGGUCUGUGUACAAAGUCAUCUCCCCUCAGUUGUAUACCAUACAUACUAAAAUCCCACUGGGCAAAAACUGUUUGAAUCAACGUUGUUUCCACAACAUUUCAAUCCAGUAUGUGUUAUUUCAUAGUUUUGAUGUCUUCACUAUUAUUCUACAAUGUAGAAAAUAGCAAAAAUAAAGAAAAACCCUUGAAUGAGUAGGUGUGUCCAAACUUUUGACUGGUACAGUAUACCACACGGUAUAUACACUGAGUGGACAAACAUUAGGAACACCUUCCUAAUACGGAGUUGCACCUCCCCCUUUUGCCCUCAGAACAGCCUCAAUUCUUCCGGGCAUGGACUCUACAAGGUGUCAAAAGCAUUUCACAGGGUUGCUGGCCCAUGUUGACGCCAAUGCUUCCCACAGUGUGAAGUUGGCUGGAUGUCCUUUGGGUGGUGGACCAUUCUCGAUACCAGUGGAGGCUGCUGACGGGAGGACGGCUCAUAAUAAUGUCUGGAACGGAGCAAAUGGAAUGGCAUCAAACCAUGUGUUUGAUACCAUUCCACUGAUUCCACUCCAGCCAUUACCACGAACCAGUCCUCCCCAAUUAAGGUGCCACCAACCUCCUGUGCUUGACACACAUGGGACAGUGUUGAGUGUGAAAAACCCAGCAGCGUUGUAGUUCUUGACAUAAACCGGUGCGCCUGGCACCUACCACCAUACCCCGUUCAAAGGCACUUCAAUAUUUUGUCUUGCCCAUUUACCCUCUGAAUGGCACACAUACACAAUCCAUGACUCAAGGCUUAAAAAUCAUUCCUUAACAUGUCUCCUCCCCUUCACCUACACUGAUUAAAAUGGAUUUAACAAGUGACAUCAGUAAGGGAUCAUAGCUUUCACCUGGAUUCACCUGGUCGGUCUAUGUCAUGAAAAGAGCAAGUGUUGAUCAUGUUUUGUACUCUCAGUGUAAU
ensembl:lncRNA